AUGCAGUCCAUGCUUAAUAAAUUGAAGAGUACUGUUACAAAAGUCACAGCUGACGUCACUAGUGCUGUAAUGGGAAAUCCUGUCACUAGAGAAUUUGAUGUUGGUCGACACAUUGCUAGUGGUGGCAAUGGGCUAGCUUGGAAGAUUUUUAAUGGCACAAAAAAAUCAACAAAACAGGGAUUGCUUGGCAUUUUGUACGGAACCAGUUUUUGCCAGUUUAGCCAACGUUCUUGGUAACUGGGAAAACCUGCCUUCCCCUAUAUCUCCGGACAUUAAAGAUUAUAAACUUUAUGAUGUAGAAACCAAAUAUGGCUUGCUUCAGGUUUCUGAAGGGUUGUCAUUUUUGCAUAGCAGUGUGAAAAUGGUUCAUGGAAAUAUUACUCCAGAAAAUAUAAUUUUGAAUAAAAGUGGAGCCUGGAAAAUAAUGGGUUUUGAUUUUUGUGUAUCAUCAGCCAAUCCCUCUGAACAAGAGCCUAAAUUUCCUUGUAAAGAAUGGGACCCAAAUUUACCAUCGUUAUGUCUUCCAAAUCCUGAAUAUUUGGCUCCUGAAUACAUACUUUCUGUAAGCUGUGAAACAGCCAGUGAUAUGUAUUCUUUAGGAACUGUUAUGUAUGCUGUAUUUAAUAAAGGGAAACCUAUAUUUGAAGUCAACAAACAAGAUAUUUACAAGAGUUUCAGUAGGCAGUUGGAUCAGUUGAGUCGUUUGGGAUCUAAUUCACUUACAAAUGUAUCUGAGGAAGUCCGUGAACAUGUAAAACUACUGUUAAAUGUAACUCCGACUGUCAGACCAGAUGCAGAUCAAAUGACAAAGAUUCCCUUCUUUGAUGAUGUUGGUGCAGUAACACUACAAUAUUUUGAUACCUUAUUCCAAAGAGAUAACCUUCAGACAUCACAGUUUUUCAAAGGACUGCCAAAGGUUCUACCAAAACUGCCCAAGCGUGUCAUCGUGCAGAGAAUUUUGCCUUGUUUGACUUCAGAAUUUGUAAACCCUGACAUGGUACCCUUUGUUUUGCCCAAUGUCCUACUGAUUGCUGAGGAAUGCACCAAAGAAUAUGUCAAAUUAAUUCUACCUGAACUUGGCCUUGUAUUUAAACAGCAGGAGCCAAUCCAGAUUUUGUUAAUUUUCUUACAAAAAAUGGAUUUGCUACUAACCAAAACCCCUCCUGAUGAGAUAAAACACAGUGUCCUACCAAUGGUUUACAGAGUACUAGAAGCUCCUUCCAUUCAGAUCCAGGAGCUCUGUCUAAACAUCAUUCCAACCUUUGCAAAUCUUAUAGACUACCCAUCCAUGAAAAAUGCUUUGAUUCCAAGAAUUAAAAAUGCCUGUCUACAAACGUCUUCCCUUGCUGUUCGUGUAAAUUCAUUAGUGUACUUAGGAAAGAUUUUGGAAUACUUGGAUAAGUGGUUUGUACUUAAUGAUAUCCUACCCUUCUUACAACAAACUCCAUCCAAGGAACCUGCGGUCCUCAUGGGAAUUUUAGGUAUUUACAAAUGUACUUUUACUCAUAAGAAGUUGGGAAUCACCAAAGAGCAGCUGGCUGGAAAAGUAUUGCCUCAUCUCAUACCCUUGAGUAUUGAAAACAAUCUUAAUCUUAAUCAGUUCAAUUCUUUCAUUUCCGUCAUAAAAGAGAUGCUUAGUAGAUUGGAAUCUGAACAUAAGACUAAACUGGAGCAACUUCAUAUAAUGCAAGAACAGUAGAAAUCUUUGGACAUAGGAAAUCAAAUGAAUGCUUCUGAGGAGACAAAAGUUACAAAUGUUGGGAAUCAGCAAAUUGACAAGGUUUUUAACAACAUUGGAGCAGACCUUCUGACUGGUGGGGAAUCAGAAAAUAAAGAGGAUGGGUUACAGAAUAAGCAUAAAAGAGCAUCACUUACACUUGAAGAAAAACAAAAAUUAGCAAAAGAACAAGACCAGGCACAGAAGUUGAAAAGCCAGCAGCCUCUAAAACCCCAAGUGCAUACACUUAUUGCUCCAGUCAAACAGACUAAGGACUUGACAGACACAUUGAUGGAUAAUAUGUCAUCUUUGACCAGCCUUUCUGUUAGUAACCCUAAACUUUCUACUUCAAGUACCUUCACCUCUGUUCCUUCCAUGGGCAUUGGCAUGAUGUUUUCUACACCAAUUGAUAAUACAAAGAGAAACUUGACGAACGGCCUAAAUGCCAAUAUGGGCUUUCAGACUUCAGGAUUCAACAUGCCUGUUAAUACAAAUCAGAACUUCUUCAGUAGUUCAAGCACACCUGGAGUGAGCAAGAUGACUCUGGGAGCAGCUCCCACUCUGCCAAACUUCAAUGCUUUGAGUGUUCCUCCUGCUGGUUUGAAGCAGACCCAACAAAGACCUGCAGAUAUGUCUACCCUUAAUAAUCUCUUUGGCCCUCAGAAACCCAAAGUUAGCAUGAACCAGUUAUCACAACAGAAACCAAAUCAGUGGCUUAAUCAGUACCUCCUCAAGGCUCUUCAGGUAUGGGCAGUUCUGUAAUGGGAACACAGAUGAACAUGAUGGGACAAUCUGCCUUUGGUAUGCAGGGUAAUCCUUUCUUUAGCCCACAGAACUUUGCACAGCCAAAGUUCCAACUACUAUGACCAAUAGCAGUUCGGCUAGCAAUGAUUUAAAAGAUCUUUUUGGGUGAGGUGUCUUGCUUCUAUUUUGAAGGAUUACUCAGUUUUAAUCACGGGUGAGCUGAUUUGCAUCUUAGUCUAGUUGGCUU